AACGUAGGUGGCGAGCGUUAUCCGGAAUUACUGGGCGUAAAGCGUGUGCAGGCGGGGGUGUAAGUGGGGGAUGAAAUGUCCCGGCUCAACCGGGAGGGGUUAUGCCAGACUGCAUCUCUUGAGUGCGAGAGAGGAGCGUGGAAUUCCGGGUGUAGUGGUGAAGUGCGUAGAGAUCCGGAGGAACCCCAGAGGCGAAGGCGGCGCUCUGGCUCGCAACUGACGCUCAGACACGACAGCAUGGGGAGCGAACGGG
rnacentral:rRNA from 1 species